UUCUGUGGCUUAGUUGGUUAUAGCGCCGCUCUAGCGAAUACGGAGUCGUGGGUUCGAAUCCCACCAGAA
rnacentral:tRNA from 1 species